rnacentral:sRNA from 1 species
UGGACGUCCACUGCUGGACAUAGGCCU